UACGUAGGGUGCGAGCGUUAAUCGGAAUUACUGGGCGUAAAGCGUGCGCAGGCGGUUUUGUAAGCCAGAUGUGAAAGCCCCGGGCUCAACUUGGGAAUGGCAUUUGGGACUGCAAGGCUGGAGUUUGGCAGAGGAGACUGGAAUUCCUGGUGUAGCAGUGAAAUGCGUAGAUAUCAGGAGGAAUACCGAUGGCGAAGGCAGGUCUCUGGGCUAUAACUGACGCUCAUGCACGAAAGCGUGGGGAGCAAACAGG
rnacentral:rRNA from 1 species